GCCGUGCUGUGUGACCCGGCGCAUGCGCGGAGGUGCCCUAAAGACGCCCUGGGUUAUUAAUAAAGUUUAAUAAAAAAUAUAAAACACCAAAAAAUCCCACAUCAAAGCAGCUACAGUGCUGCAGUGCCAGCCCUGACCUGACGAAGUGAUAGAUGGGGCUUAACAAGCGCCGUACGGAAAUGCUGCAUCCAGAGACACAGCAUCAUAUCGCUAUCACGACCAGCGGACUCCGAUUGGCCGUCGGAACAGAUCAGCUGGGUCCAGAAAGUCUGCAUCCGACGACACAGACCAUGGACCCGGACAGGGGGUCCUUAAAAAGGUUUCCUAUCAAGAAUGAAAUGUGCUGACAGUCAGACCAUUGGGAUACGAACACUACCACUGCCAAUCUUUCUAAUAACAUACAGAGAAGAGGACAUUAUCAAGAUAACACGUUACCAUCUACAGUACUCUUAUGUUGUACCAAACCUCAGGCAACAGUGACUGAACAGUUUUACAACAUUGCCAAAUUGACUACACAUAUCUCCCAAGCUCUCAAUGUUUCCCGGAUUGUAUUAUUAUUAUUAUUAUUAUUAUUAUUGUAUUUUUAUUAUUUAUUUAAUAAUUUAUUUGGCACCACAAGGGGUCUGCAGCACCAUAAAAAGUACAUAAACAGGAACACCAUGAUCAAAACAGCAAAAGUGACUUACAGUACAAAACAUUGCAGGACAUGGACAAGGUCUAUAAACAAGCUGUAUCAGCAGUCUUAAUACCCAAAGCAGUAGCAGUAUGGCAGAACCCAAAGGUUUGGUGACAUUGUGGGACUUGUGAGGAGAUGAUGGCAAAAGUGAGGGGACAUGAGAGAAGAGGGCCCUGCUCGUGAGAGC